rnacentral:lncRNA from 1 species
UAAGGACUCCAUUGAAAGAAAUUUGACAACAAAACAGCCUAAGGAGUCUUCAACUAAUAAGUUUCUGACUCAUAAUUCAAUUUCCAUGAAAUUUGACUUGCCAUCCACCAAAUACUAAAAUGAAAGGCUCGCCCCAUCAGAUUCCCUUAAUAAUACACCUUCUUCAUACUCCCAUUCCAGUGCACCAGUGCUGCUACCUGAUACAUCCAAUAUAAUAUUACCAACUUUGAAGAAAAUAUUUUUAGCAGUUGCUUGAAAAUUGACAACCCAACUAGCCCCCCCCCCCCCC